rnacentral:rRNA from 1 species
AUACGUAGGGAGCGAGCGUUGUCCGGAAUUACUGGGUGUAAAGGGAGCGUAGGCGGGAGUGCAAGUCAGAUGUGAAAUACAUGGGCUCAACCCAUGGGCUGCAUUUGAAACUGCAUUUCUUGAGUGAAGUAGAGGUAAGCGGAAUUCCUGGUGUAGCGGUGAAAUGCGUAGAUAUCAGGAGGAACACCGGUGGCGAAGGCGGCUUACUGGGCUUUUGCUGACGCUGAGGCUCGAAAGCGUGGGGAGCAAACAGGAUUAGAUACCCUGGUAGUCCACGCUGUAAACGAUGAUUACUAGGUGUGGGGGGACUGACCCCUUCCGUGCCGCAGUUAACACAAUAAGUAAUCCACCUGGGGAGUACGGCCGCAAGGUUGAAACUCAAAUGAAUUGACGGGG